rnacentral:rRNA from 1 species
AUUGAACGCUGGCGGCAUGCCUUACACAUGCAAGUCGAACGGUAACAGGUCUUCGGAUGCUGACGAGUGGCGAACGGGUGAGUAAUACAUCGGAACGUGCCUAGUAGUGGGGGAUAACUACUCGAAAGAGUGGCUAAUACCGCAUGAGAUCUACGGGUGAAAGCAGGGGAUCGCAAGACCUUGUGCUACUAGAGCGGCCGAUGGCAGAUUAGGUAGUUGGUGGGAUAAAAGCUUACCAAGCCGACGAUCUGUAGCUGGUCUGAGAGGACGAUCAGCCACACUGGGACUGAGACACGGCCAAGACGCCUACGGGAGGCAGCAGUGGGGAAUGUUGGACAAUGGGAGCGAGCCUGAUCCAGCAAUGCCGCGUGCAGGAUGAAGGCCUUCGGGUUGUAAACUGCUUUUGUACGGAACGAAAAGCCCCGGGUUAAUACCCUGGGGUCAUGACGGUACCGUAAGAAUAAGCACCGGCUAACUACGUGCCAGCCGCCGCGGUAA